GGUCAAGCUACAAAGGGCUAACGGUGGAACCUAGGCACACAGAGCGGCCGCAAA
rnacentral:rRNA from 1 species